ensembl:lncRNA
AUGUCCACGAAAGCGGAGUCCAGGGUGUCCAGCUCCAGUUCCAGCUCCAGAACCGAUGAAAGGAAGAGAUCGAGCAGUACAGGUCGAGAAAAAACGAAACGGAAACGCAGUCGCAGUAGGUCUUCCUCGUCGUCCUCUUCUAGGUCAUCAUCAUCAUCUUCGUCCUCGUCGUCCUCUUCUUCGUCGGGCUCGUCAAACUCAUCCAGCAACAGUCGGAGUAGCUCUAGCAGUAGCGACUCUCACAGUAAAUCCAGAAAGCAGUCUAAGAAAAGGAAAAAGGAGAAACCCAAAAAACAGAAAGUUAAGAAGGAAAAACGACACAAACGUAAAAAGGACAAGAAAGCAAAAGGAGGAGAGGAAAACACGGGACCUGUACAAAUCUCCAAGGUGAGUGAGGUCCCAUUCAACAACUGUGAGACCAGAAAUACAUACAUCCAAAAAUGCAUUUUGCACAUGAUCCUAGACCGUCCCUACAUUAUAUUGUUAUUAUUGACUUCCAUUCAUUUAGGGCCACUGAGCUCUAAAAUCGAGUCUAGUACAAUAAGUUGUUACAUCAAACAAACUGAGGUCUGUUUUGUUUAUUAUCUCAAAGCCAUCUAA